AGCAGUACCGUGAGGGAAAGGUGAAAAGAACCCCGGGAGGGGAGUGAAAUAGAACCUGAAACCGUGUGCCUACAACCGCUCAGAGCCCCUUAUGAGGGUGAUGAGGUGCUUUUUGUAGAACGAGCCAACGAGUUACGGUAUGUAGCAAGGUUAAGUACUUAAGGUACGGAGCCGAAGGGAAACCGAGUCUGAAUAGGGCGACUAGUUGCAUGCCGUAGACCCGAAACCGGGUGACCUAUCCAUGGCCAGGUUGAAGCGAGGGUAAAACCUCGUGGAGGACCGAACCACGUUGCUGUUGAAAAAGCAUGGGAUGAGCUGUGGAUAGCGGAGAAAUUCCAAUCGAACCCGGAGAUAGCUGGUUCUCUCCGAAAUAGCUUUAGGGCUAGCGUCGAGUAUGAGUAGUGGAGGUAGAGCACUGAAUGGGCUAGGGGGCAUAGCGCUUACCGAACCUUAUCAAACUCCGAAUGCCACAUACUUUGAGCUCGGCAGUCAGACUACGAAUGAUAAGAUCCGUGGUCAAAAGGGAAACAGCCCAGAUCGUCAGCUAAGGUCCCAAAGUGUAAGUUAAGUGGGAAAGGAUGUGAGAUUUCUAAGACAACUAGGAUGUUGGCUUAGAAGCAGCCAUUCAUUAAAAGAGUGCGUAAUAGCUCACUAGUCGAGAGAUCUUGCGCCGAAAAUGUAACGGGGCUAAACUUACCACCGAAGCUACGGGCUUGAAC
rnacentral:rRNA from 1 species